GAUGAACGCUGGCGGCGUGCCUAAUACAUGCAAGUCGAGCGAACAGACGAGGAGCUUGCUCCUCUGACGUUAGCGGCGGACGUGUGUGUAACACGUGGAUAACCUACCUAUAAGACUGAUAUAACUUCGGGAAACCGGAGCUAAUACCGUAUAAUAUAUUGAACCGCAUGGUUCAUUAGUGAGAUACGGUUGUUCUGUCACUUAUAGAGGGAUCCGCGCCGCAUUAUCUAGUUGUUAAGUUAACGGCUUAUCAAGGCAACGAUGCGUAGCCGACCUGAGAGAGUGAUCGGCCACACUGGAACUGAGACACGGUCCAGACUCCUACGGGAGGCAGCAGUAGGGAAUCUUCCGCAAUGGGGGAAAGCAUGACGGAGCAAGGCCGAGUGAGUGAUGAAGGUCUUGGGAUCGUAAAACUCUGUUAUUAGGGAAGAACAAAUGUGUAAGUAACUAUGCACGUAUUGACGGUACCUAAUAAGAAAGCAACGGCUAACUACGUG
rnacentral:rRNA from 1 species